GGUUAAGUUAUUAAGGGCGCAUGGUGAAUGCCUUGGUACUAGGAGCCGAUGAAGGAUGGAACUAACACCGAUAUGCUUCGGGGAGCUGUACGUAAGCUUUGAUCCGGAGAUUUCCGAAUGGGGAAACCCAAUCAUCUUAGUCGAUGAUUGCUCGACAGUGAAUUCAUAGCUGUCGUGCGGUAAACGCGGGGAACUGAAACAUCUAAGUACCCGCAGGAGUAGAAAAAAAUUUCGAUUCCCUAAGUAGCGGCGAGCGAACGGGGAACAGCCCAAACCGACCAGUUUACUGGUCGGGGUUGUAGGACUGAACAUUUGAGUUACAAAAGAAUCUGAUAGUCGAAUCAGUUGGGAAGCUGAGCCAUAGAUGGUGAUAGCCCAGUAGACGAAAUCAGAUUCCCUCAGUUCAGGAUCCUGAGUACGGCGACACACGUGAAAUGUCGUCGGAAGCCGGGAGGACCAUCUCCCAAGGCUAAAUACUACCAGUACG
rnacentral:rRNA from 2 species